rnacentral:rRNA from 1 species
GAGUUUGAUCCUGGCUCAGGAUGAACGCUGGCGGCGUGCCUAAUACAUGCAAGUCGAGCGAACGGACGAGAAGCUUGCUUCUCUGAUGUUAGCGGCGGACGGGUGAGUAACACGUGGGUAACCUACCUAUAAGACUGGGAUAACUCCGGGAAACCGGGGCUAAUACCGGAUAACAUAUGAAACCGCAUGGUUUCAUGAUGAAAGGCGGUCUUGCUGUCACUUAUAGAUGGAUCCGCGCUGCAUUAGCUAGUUGGUAAGGUAACGGCUUACCAAGGC